GACGAACGCUGGCGGCGUGCCUAAUACAUGCAAGUCGAACGCAGUGGGGACGGGUGAGUAACACGUGGGUAACCUCCCAUCAGAGGGGAUAACACUUGGAAACAGGUGCUAAACCGAUACUGAUGGAUGGACCCGCGGUGCAUUAGCUAGUUGGUGGGGUAACGGCUCACCAGGGCCACGAUGCAUAGCGGACCUGGAAGGUUGACCGGCAACACUGGAACUGAGCCACGGCCCAGACUCCUACGGGAGUCAUCAGUAGGGAAUCUUCGACAAGGGACGAAAGUCUGACCGAGCAACGCCGCGUGAGUUAAGAAGGUUUUCGGGUCGUAAAACUCUGUUGUUGGAGAGGCGGUAUCUAACCAGAAAGCCACGGCUAACUACGUGCCAGCAGCCGCGGUAAUUC
rnacentral:rRNA from 1 species